UACGUAGGGAGCGAGCGUUAUCCGGAUUCAUUGGGCGUAAAGAGUUCGUAGGCGGCUUAUUAAGUCUAAGAUUAAAGCCCGGAGCUUAACUCCGGUUCGUUUUAGAUACUGGUAGGCUUGAGUGUGGUAGAGGCAAAUGGAAUUCCUAGUGUAGCGGCGAAAUGCGUAGAUAUUAGGAGGAACACCAGUGGCGAAGGCGGUUUGCUGGGCCAUAACUGACGCUGAGGAACGAAAGCGUGGGGAGCGAAUAG
rnacentral:rRNA from 1 species